CGGGGCGUCGUGGCGUGCACCUGCGCUUCCAGCGGCUGCAGCAGUCGCUCCCCGAACCUCGACCUUCCCCGGCCGUUCAGCCAUUUCCCCCAGCACUGUUCUUCUUUGGGCGCGGGCCCCGGUGUCGCGGAGGGAGGGCGAGUGGCCGCCUCGGGCCUGGCUCGGGCUGCCGGCUGGGCGGGGAGGCCCUGGGAGCUCUGGACAGAGGGCGAGGAACCUUCUAGAAAACGGCCGCAGGGCGGGUUGGAAGGCCCAGCAUCCUGUGGGCGAACUUGACUUGGAUCAUUUCUUGCUGUGCCUCUGGAAAUGAUGAGCAAAACGUGAACUAUGUGCCGAGGUUGACAGACGGCCCCCGAAAAGUGCAAUGUUGUAACGAAGCGCUGUGAGGAACAGUCUCCGCUGUCCCGCUGUGCGAGCUGCUCUAUUACAAUAUAUCCCCUGAGCUUCCUUCCUGGUCUGCAAAUUCAUUUUGGGUGCUCGCAUGGUAACUAUUAUCAGCCAUUGUAAUCAUGAACUGAGAGGGUAUGAAGGUCAAUGGCAAAGGAAGAUGUUCUGUGGGAAGAUUCCAGGCUCUGGGCACUUGGUCACGAACAACUGUGCGCAGAGGGCUGGACCCUUCUGGUAUUUGUCAACAAUCACAUCUCUGCUGGAGGCCCACUAAGCCUAGGUGCUCCAUCCGGUGUCCUAUUCCAAGCGGAGGUCCAGAUAAGGGUCGGAAUUUGUUCACAGUUACACAGUAGAGGUGAGACCAGGAGCCAGGCAGUCAGGUUCCAGGACUCUUUCACAGUCUCUGGUAUGUAAAUUACAUUCAAAUAGCGUGAACGCAUGCCAAGAAAUUGCAGGGAAUUCUCCUUGGGAGUCCUGUGGCUCAGACAUGUGUCAAGAUUGAUGGCAAAAGUUAAAGCCCAUGGUGACACUCAUAAGCAAAGCUAUGGCUUUACAAAAGGCACUAAACCUUGUUAUUGCAAAAGUCGGCUGGCACGUAUAUAUACUUACACACUAAUGCAUCUUAAAAAGGAAACCAAUACGUCAGCAGCUAUUUCUUUUGCAGAGGUACAAACACUAUCUCCCUGCCUAACUGUAACUAUAUAUGCUUAUAUAUGUACUUUCUUGUACAGCAGUACCUAAGUUGGUGGUAUUCAAUGCAGAAUUUUUAGAAUAGGAUUUCUCUGAUUGUUUCCAUAGGAUUCACUCUAGACCAAGGGUUAUACACAUACUCCUUCAUUCUGUGAUGGAGAGGAAUUAAUAUUGUAGUGGCUAAAAUAUGGUUAUGGACUGUGGCCACGCAGCCUUAAAUCCCAGCUCUUAAUGCCUGACGUAACCUCCCUGUAGCUUGGUUCCCUUGUGUAAAGUGGGGAUCACGCAGUACUCACUUCCUAGGAUUGUCGUGAGCAUUCACAGCACGAAAACACACAGAAUACUUCGAAAAGUGUUUGGCACUUAGCGAGGGUCCAGUUCCUAGUUUGGGGGAACUUUUGAGUAAAGCCUUCUAUUAAUAAUUUGUAUAUAGGUUCUUGGGUAAAAAAAAAAAAGUUUUUUGUGUGUUUGAAAAUAAACAUUAAUUUUACUUAGGUAAAACCUUAGAAAUAGGAUUGUUGAAUUGUAUGGAAGUGUGUGUUUAGCUUUAAAAGAAACCACAAGAAACUGCCAAAAUAUUUUCCCAUGUGACUGUGCCAUUUUGCAUCACCCCUGGCGGUAUAUAAGAAGUCCAGUCGCUCUGUAACUUUGCCACCUCUUAAAAUGUUUUUUUAGCCAUUCUAGUAGCUAUGUAGUAGUAUUUUAUUGUGGUUUGAAUUUGCUUUUCCUAAUGACUGAUAAUGCUGAGCAUCUU